GAUGAACGCUAGCGGCAGGCCUAAUACAUGCAAGUCGAACGGUGUCUUCGGACAUAGUGGCGCACGGGUGCGUAACACGUAUGCAACCUACCUUACAUUGGGGGAUAGCCUUUCGAAAGGGAGAUUAAUACCGCAUAAGACAGUAGCUGGGCAUCCAGCAGCUGUUAAAGAUUUAUCGAUGUAAGCUGGGCAUGCGUCCAAUUAGCUAGUUGGUGAGGUAACGGCUCACCAAGGCAAUGAUUGGUAGGGGAACUGAGAGGUCAAUCCCCCACACUGCACUGAGAUACGGGCCAGACUCCUACGGGAGGCAGCAGUAGGGAAUAUUGGGCAACGGACGCAAGUCUGACCCAGCCAUGCCGCGUGCAGGAUGAAGGCGUUAUGCGUUGUAAACUGCUUUUAUACAGGAAGAAACGACUCUUGCGAGAGGCAUUGACGGUACUGUAUGAAUAAGCACCGGCUAACUCCGUGCCAGCCGCCGCGGUAACAC
rnacentral:rRNA from 1 species